rnacentral:rRNA from 1 species
AGUCCCGUAACGAGCGCAACCCCUGUCGUUAGUUGCCAGCGCGUAAUGGCGGGAACUUUAACGAGACCGCGAGCGAUAAGCUUGAGGAAGGAAGGGACGACGUCAAGUCAUCAUGGCCCUUAUGGGUAGGGCUACACACGUGCUACAAUGGAGUGUACAGAGGGUUGCAACGUCGCGAGGCCGAGCCAAUCCCAUAAAACCGUUCGUAGUCCGGAUCGGAGUCUGCAACUCGACUCCGUGAAGUCGGAAUCGCUAGUAAUCGCAGAUCAGCAUGCUGCGGUGAAUACGUUCCCGGGCCUU